AAAAGUAGUUUUCCCUUAAUCGGUAUCAUUAUCAAAAUACAGAAAUUGAUUAUUAAAGAAAGCAAGAGAAAUCAAGGAAAUAAGAUAUGCCUCAGCAGUGAAGACUGCUGACUAAGGUAAAAGGGAUCAUAGACUCCAGGAGAGUAUCGUACAAACGACACGCCUGGCUCAGUCUAACAAAGGGAGACACAGACCCCAGACGGUACCGAAUGAAAGGUGCAACUAGCAAGGUCUAAAAACAGAGAAUACAGACCCCAGAAAGUAUCAAAUGAAAGAUAUAGCUAGCAAGGUCCAAAACAGAGAAUACAGACCCCAGACAAUAUCAAAUGAAAGAUACAGCUAGUAAGGUCUAAAACA
rnacentral:lncRNA from 1 species